rnacentral:lncRNA from 1 species
AGGUCCUUUCCCACUUGAAUGGUUUUAUCAUUCUGUAAUACAGGACCAUGGUGGUAAGUUGAUUUGACUCAUCAAACAAGUGGAUGCUGAAUUAAAAAAACAAAGCAACACAAAAUUACAUGUAAGUAUCAGUUUCUGAUAUGAAAGAUGAUGUGGCAGUUUGGGGAUGUUCAAACUAGAAUUAUUAACAUGGAUCCUCUGUGAAAAAAGAGACGCAGAGUUUUAUCUGACUCAUGUUGGAUACUGGCCCUCCAGAACAAAAUCCAGACAGGUUUCUGUCUUUAGCUAGUAACUAGAUGUUCUAAGUGCUAAAUGUAAUAAUGGGAGUAAGAAAUAGAUUCUUAGACCAAAGCACUAACAUAGUUGCAUAUGAAAACACAGAACCUGAUGCAUCUCAGGUGCCACAUUCAGAUUCUUAAUUCUGUUUUGCUUUCCAUCUACAUCAUACUCCUGUUGCUCUUUUCCUGUCUGUGAUGUGAGGAGAAUCCAGCUGUAGGAUUUGGAGUGAGAGGCUAUGGAAAGCAACACCUCUUGCCAGCUAUCUAAAAUGAAGACUUUCUGGUUCCAUGCUUCCUUGGUUAUCUUGUUGUGAAGCAGAGAGGGAAAAAACCCAGCAGAAUCCUCUUGUCAAGCUUCUUGCUGUAAUUCUUUCCCAGUUCAGUGGUUUACCAACAAACGCGCAUCCAGCAGGACCGUGCAACUCUGCAGGCUGGACAGUUGCCAACCAGAAUAUUCUGUGUAGAGAAAUUCCUCUCCAUGUUUUGUGUGGAAGAACUGAUGGGAUGUGCUAUGCUGUGAAAACUAAAACUGGAAAAUUAAACACUGACUGUAUUUAAAUAGAAAUAUAAUCUAUUUGCUCUCUACAAAUACUUGCUAGAUUUCAUAAGCAGACAGUGGGAUUUCUUUGCUCCCAUUCAUUGUUGUAUUGUCAUCCAACAUGAGCUGAUGUAGUCCAUGCUGAACUCAGUAUUGCUGGAACUAUCUAAUAAACUCUAGUGGAAGUAACUAGAUUAAAAAUAU